GACGAACGCUGGCGACGCGCUUAACACAUGCAAGUCGAACGGAAAGGCCUGCUUUCCCUUGUGGAUUGCGGGUACUCGCGUGGCGAACGGGUGAGUAACACGUGAGUGAUCUGCCCCCAACUUGGGUAUAAGCCUGGGAAACUGGGUCUAAUUCCCGAUAGGACUGCAGGGUGGUGCCUGUGGUGGAAAACGAUUUUCUAGUGGUUGGGGAUGAGCUCGCGGCCUAUCAGCUUGUUGGUGGGGUAAUGGCCUACCAAGGCGGCGACGGGUAGCCGGCCUGAGAGGGUGGACGGCCACAUUGGGACUGAGAUACGGCCCAGACUCCUACGGGAGGCAGCAGUGGGGAAUAUUGCACAAUGGGCGGAAGCCUGAUGCAGCGACGCCGCGUGGGGGAUGACGGCCUUCGGGUUGUAAACUCCUUUCGACCGCGAGGAAGCCACCUGGUUGGAAGGGUGGUGACGGUAGUGGUAGAAGAAGCACCGGCUAACUACGUG
rnacentral:rRNA from 1 species